CACGCGUCUGUACUAUGUGGUGUUGUCCUUUCUUCCAAUUUCCAAAACACACUUAAUGAAGAUGGACCGAUGGAGUGCCGUUUUAUUCUCCAAAAUAUUCAUUUUCAAGAUACUGACUUUCUCUCUUCACUUUUUUUUACCCUCCAGUUUUUCACAGUCAAUUGAUUAACAAUGGCAUUUUUUCACAGUUCCAUCACCUACUAUUAUAGUACCACCAAAGUUCCUUUUAACUUUAUCAUUCUUUGAUUUUUUUCUCUUCUGUUUCUAUCAAUUAUUUACCCAUUAAUUCCUUUUUUCCAGAUUCAAUUUUUCGAUAUGUUCUAAAUAGACAACAACAUUGUGAAACUUCGGGCUUUACAAGAUGCUAUUACAGCUUAUGCAACCGCCAAAGAAGAGGGAGUUGCUCCAGUUACAAUCAUCCGCAAGAACUAAGAUCAAACACAAAGGAUGGGGAGGAAACAAGUUGGCGGAUACUCUAGUGAAAUCAGCAAAAGAAAAAAAUCUAGAAGCCAACAAAUUUUGCAUUUCAUAUGACCCUCCCCCCAAAUUGUAUUAAUGUUUACUUAAUGGACAAGCAAAACUAUGGAAUCUAUGGAUCGGAAACAAUGGAAAUAAUGAACUCACGGGUGCUUUGGGA